GGCAGUAUUAAUUUUAAAACAUAUGGUCUUUUCAUAGUCACACAGAGGUGCCUGUUCCAGGGUUGACAGACCCACUGAACAAAAGGGUGAUGGUACAGUUGGGAUGAAGACAUCAAGGGAAUAUACAGAAAGCCUGGAUAUGAAUCAUUGUCUGCAAAACACCUGGGAGAUAAUCUAGUCCAAACCCCUUACUCUACAGAAGAACUCACCAACUUCAUAGACAUUCUUGUUGGCUGAAGUUGAGUUAUUGAUCUCGGCAUAUGGGGAAUCUCUCCGCGCUGGUGACUUCAUCUCCACAUAGCCACACUCCGAGUUUUUGGGCAUAAGCACAGCUAGUUUUCUAUAAUUAUUGAAGCUGAAGAUAAUACUAUACAUUUUCCACUUAUUUUGGAGAGAAUUUGCUGUAAAACUACCCAUCUAUAAGUGUACAAAUUCUCAAGGGCUUCAAUCAAGAAACCAUCUGCUGAUGCCCCCCAGAGCAUGAGAAGCUUCUGUUACUAUGGUGAGGAAGCCAUUUGUUCAGGGAGGAAGCCUCAGGACUGGGCACAUGGAGUUAUUACACAGAUUCCUCCUGAAUGACCAUUCUGAUCUCUUCCUACUUUCCCUGCUCUUUCCUUUUCCACAUUUCUCUCAGCUUUAAGCCAUAUUUCCUUUGAAGGAAACAUGAGUGAUUGUCCAGCACACUGAAACUUUUGUUCCCUCAGACUUAAACAAGAUCUACCUAUGGACACUCUCUUGACGUCAGCCAACCAUGUUUGAGUCUUUGCUGGAGUAAUGAACCACACUAACAAUUCUACAUGUUCUCUAUGCUGCCACCUUUGCUCAUUUAGCAAAUUAUUUCAGGCUCUCAAAAAUUUUUUUAAAAAUUGCGAUUCUGAUCAAUGUUUUU